ACGGAUGUCGAUCGAUGUUGUAUGGUUGAUGUCGAUCAAUGUUGAAGGAUUGAUGUCGAUCGAUGGAGGAAUAGCUCUAUCGAUCGGAUGGCUGAAAUGUGUUCUUUCCCAAGCAGCUUCUGCUCGUUUCUGAUAUGUGUCAUCGCGUCUUUGCAUGUUGAGAAGUUCCUCAUAUGUGAAACCCUCAUGCAGUUCAUCAUCUCCUUAAUUACGGUAUGCAAUCUCUACUGCGUAGCUCUCGUGAUGGCGAUCAUCUGCCCAACUUCCAAUUGAGUAAUCUUUAUCUCGGGUAGCGUCAACAUUAGUGUCGAUCGAUGGGUAAUAGGCGAUGUCCGUCGAUGCUCGAAGGUGGCUUGGUUGAUGAAGUUUAGUGUCGAUCGAUGUUGAACCGUUCCUGUCGAUCGAUGGCGACUUCUUUUUCCAAGAGGAAUGAUGGAGAAGUCUAUCUUCUUCCUCAUAAUCUUCAUCAUACUCCUCCGUAUGCAUGUUGUGUGCUGCCAUAGUGGGAUUGUAGUAAUCAUUUUCUCAUUAUCCUUGAUUACU
rnacentral:lncRNA from 1 species